rnacentral:rRNA from 1 species
GUGGGGAAUAUUGGACAAUGGGCGAAAGCCUGAUCCAGCAAUGCCGCGUGAGUGAUGAAGGCCCUAGGGUUGUAAAGCUCUUUUACCCGGGAUGAUAAUGACAGUACCGGGAGAAUAAGCUCCGGCUAACUUCGUGCCAGCAGCCGCGGUAAUACGAGGGGAGCUAGCGUUGUUCGGAAUUACUGGGCGUAAAGCGCGCGUAGGCGGUUUUUUAAGUCAGAGGUGAAAGCCCGGGGCUCAACCCCGGAAUUGCCUUUGAAACUGGAAAACUAGAAUCUUGGAGAGGUCAGUGGAAUUCCGAGUGUAGAGGUGAAAUUCGUAGAUAUUCGGAAGAACACCAGUGGCGAAGGCGACUGACUGGACAAGUAUUGACGCUGAGGUGCGAAAGCGUGGGGAGCAAACAGGAUUAGAUACCCCGGUAGUCC